rnacentral:misc_RNA from 1 species
GAUGAAGAACGUAGCGAAAUGCGAUAAGUAAUGUGAAUUGCAGAAUUCAGUGAAUCAUCGAAUCUUUGAACGCACAUUGCGCCCGCUAGUAUUCUGGCGGGCGUGCCUGUCCGAGCGUCAUUUCAACCCUCAAGCCCCCGGGCUUGGUGUUGGGGAUCGGCGAGCCUCCGCGCCCGCCGUCCCCUAAAUCUAGUGGCGGUCUCGCUGUAGCUUCCUCUGCGUAGUAGCACACCUCGCACUGGGAAACAGCGCGGCCACGCCGUUAAACCCCCAACUUCUGAACGUUUGACCUCGGAUCAGGUAGGAAUACCCGCUGAACUUAAGCAUAUCAAUAAGCGGAGGA